rnacentral:rRNA from 1 species
CAGGACGACGCUGGCGGCGUGCUUAACACAUGCAAGUCGAACGGAUUAGUUGGGAGCUUGCUCCCGGCUAAGUGAGUGGCGGACGGGUGAGUAACGCGUGAACAAUCUGUCUCAUACAGGGGGAUAACGCAUCGAAAGAUGUGCUAAUACCGCGUAGGACCACGGGAUCGCAUGGUUCUGAGGUGAAAGGCGAAAGCCGGUAUGAGGUGAGUUCGCGUCUGAUUAGAUAGUUGGUGAGGUAACGGCCCACCAAGUCAACGAUCAGUAGCCGACCUGAGAGGGUGAUCGGCCACAUUGGGACUGAGACACGGCCCAGACUCCUACGGGAGGCAGCAGUGGGGAAUAUUGGGCAAUGGGCGAAAGCCUGACCCAGCAACGCCGCGUGAAGGAAGAAGGUUUUCGGAUCGUAAACUUCUGUCCUAUGAGAAGAUAAUGACGGUAUCAUAGGAGGAAGCCCCGGCUAACUACGUGCCAGCAGCCGC